AACGAACGCUGGCGGCGUGCUUAACACAUGCAAGUCGAACGCGAAAGCCCGGGCAACUGGGCGAGUAGAGUGGCGCACGGGUGAGUAACACGUGGGUAACCUACCCUUGAGUGGGGAAUAACUCCUCGAAAGGGGAGCUAAUACCGCAUAAGACCACGAUUUCUUUGGGGAUUGUGGUCAAAGGUGACCUCAUUUCUCUGAGUGUUUGGGUUCACAUUUUUAAGAGAAUGUGGACCUCAGCGCUGUACAGUGAUGUUAUCGCUUGAGGAGGGGCCCGCGGCCCAUCAGCUAGUUGGCGGGGUAAAAGCCCACCAAGGCGACGACGGGUAGCUGGUCUGAGAGGACGACCAGCCACACGGGAAUUGAGAUACGGUCCCGACCUC
rnacentral:rRNA from 1 species